GUUCCAGACUCCUACGGGAGGCAGCAGUGGGGAAUAUUGCACAAUGGGGGAAACCCUGAUGCAGCGACGCCGCGUGAGUGAAGAAGUAUUUCGGUAUGUAAAGCUCUAUCAGCAGGGAAGAAAAUGACGGUACCUGACUAAGAAGCCCCGGCUAACUACGUGCCAGCAGCCGCGGUAAUACGUAGGGGGCAAGCGUUAUCCGGAUUUACUGGGUGUAAAGGGAGCGUAGACGGCGGAACAAGUCAGAAGUGAAAACCCGGGGCUCAACCCUGGGAGUGCUUUUGAAACUGUUUGGCUGGAGUGCAGGAGAGGUAAGCGGAAUUCCUAGUGUAGCGGUGAAAUGCGUAGAUAUUAGGAGGAACACCAGUGGCGAAGGCGGCUUGCUGGGCUUUUACUGACGCUGAGGCUCGAAAGUGUGGGGAGCAAACAGGAUUAGAUACCCUGGUACA
rnacentral:rRNA from 1 species